UGGGGAAUAUUGCACAAUGGGCGAAAGCCUGAUGCAGCAACGCCGCGUGAGUGAUGAAGGCCUUCGGGUUGUAAAGCUCUGUCUUUUGGGACGAUAAUGACGGUACCAAAGGAGGAAGCCACGGCUAACUACGUGCCAGCAGCCGCGGUAAUACGUAGGUGGCAAGCGUUGUCCGGAUUUACUGGGCGUAAAGGAUGCGUAGGCGGAUUUUUAAGUGAGAUGUGAAAUACCCGGGCUUAACUUGGGUGCUGCAUUUCAAACUGGGAAUCUAGAGUGCGGGAGAGGAGAAUGGAAUUCCUAGUGUAGCGGUGAAAUGCGUAGAGAUUAGGAAGAACACCAGUGGCGAAGGCGAUUCUCUGGACCGUAACUGACGCCUGAGGCAUGAAAGCGUGGGUAGCAAACAGGAUUAGAUACCCUGGUAGUCCACGCCGUAAACGAUGAGUACUAGGUGUAGGAGGUAUCGACCCCUUCUGUGCCGCAGUUAACACAAUAAGUACUCCGCCUGGGAAGUACGAUCGCAAGAUUAAAACUCAAAUGAAUUGACGGGGUC
rnacentral:rRNA from 1 species